rnacentral:tRNA from 1 species
GCCUCGGUUGCCUAGUUGGUUAGGGCGUCGCCUUGGUAAGGCGAAGGUCGCGGGUUCAAAUCCCGCCCGAGGCUCCA